rnacentral:rRNA from 1 species
GGAGCGCAACUGACGCUGAAGCUCGAAAGUGCGGGUAUCGAACAGGAUUAGAUACCCUGGUAGUCCGCACGGUAAACGAUGGAUGCCCGCUUUUCGGUCAUUAGACCGUGAGGCCAAGUGAAAACAUUAAGCAUCCCACCUGGGGAGUACGCCGGCAACGGUGAAACUCAAAGGAAUUGACGGGGGCCCGCACAAGCGGAGGAACAUGUGGUUUAAUUCGAUGAUACGCGAGGAACCUUACCCGGGCUUGAAUUGCAGAUGAAGGAUCCAGAGAUGGUGACGCCCUUCGGGGCAUCUGUGAAGGUGCUGCAUGGUUGUCGUCAGCUCGUGCCGUGAGGUGUCGGCUCAAGUGCCAUAACGAGCGCAACCCCUCUCUUCAGUUGCCAUCAGGUAAAGCUGGGCACUCUGGAGACACUGCCACCGCAAGGUGUGAGGAAGGUGGGGAUGACGUCAAAUCAGCACGGCCCUUACGUCCGGGGCUACACACGUGUUACAAUGGGGGGUACAGAAAGCCGGCUGCCCGCAAGGUCAGUCCAAUCAAGAAAGCCUCCCUCAGUUCGGACUGGGGUCUGCAACCCGACCCCACGAAGCUGGAUUCGCU